rnacentral:misc_RNA from 1 species
AAGUCGUAACAAGGUUUCCGUAGGUGAACCUGCGGAAGGAUCAUUAGUGAACUUUAGCGCACCUGCUUCAACCAGGGCGUGACACCUCUCACUUUUCAAACUCUGUGCACUUUUUUUUUGGCACGUUGGGGAGGAAGCGUAAGCGACCUUCUUGCGGCUCAUUUUUACAAAACACCUAGUCAUUGUAUGUCAUUGAAACUUAUAUAACAAAACCAAAAACUUUCAACAACGGAUCUCUUGGCUCUC